UCACAGUGAACCACUGCAGGUAACUAACAUCCACAGCCCUCACAGUGAACCACUGCAGGUAACUAACAUCCACAGCCCUCACAGUGAACCACUGCAGGUAACUAACAUCCACAGCCCUCACAGUGAACCACUGCAGGUAACUAACAUCCACAGCCCUCACAGUGAACCACUGCAGGUAACUAACAUCCACAGCCCUCACAGUGAACCACUGCAGGUAACUAACAUCCACAGCCCUCACAGUGAACCACUGCAGGUAACUAACAUCCACAGCCCUCACAGUGAACCACUGCAGGUAACUAACAUCCACAGCCCUCACAGUGAACCACUGCAGGUAACUAACAUCCACAGCCCUCACAGUGAACCACUGCAGGUAACUAACAUCCACAGCCCUCACAGUGAACCACUGCAGGUAACUAACAUCCACAGCCCUCACAGUGAACCACUGCAGGUAACUAACAUCCACAGCCCUCACAGUGAACCACUGCAGG